rnacentral:lncRNA from 1 species
UUGGUCAUUAAGAGGAAACAGUAGCGAUCAACAGGUAGCGAAAACCCGUUCCAAGAUUGCGACUGUAAUUUUGAAUAUUUUUUCGAGAUAU